UCCUCUACAAAAUGCCGCUUUAUUGCAUACUUAAAAGAGCACUUGAAGGCUGAAUUCUCUGCACUAUUGCAACAUGAACAGCAGAAAGCAUCUGCAGUAGGGUGAGCCAAGGCAGACUGUUCACGGGAAGUUCCGGCACCGGACCUUCUGAUGAUGUCACUUCCAGCCCUUCUGAUGAUGUCAGCUCUGGCCCCGAACCCAUUGAGGCGGACCCUUCCAGUUCCGGCCCUUUUAAUGACGUCGCUUCUGGGUCUGAGUCUAUGAAGGAAGAUCCUUCCGGAUGUGGCCCCCGUUGACAUCAUAUCCUGUUUUGGCCUUUAAAACUGCCAUUUAUCAAACAGUUGAUUAGUUCUGGUCUGGACUCCGUUCUCAGCACAUCAGUGCUAGGAAUUUACCCUUCUGUAGCCAGGGAAUAUUAUACUGGUGGCUUGCCCAAACCUUUUUAUGAUUCUUGUGACUGGUUUUUGUGACAAUAUAUAUCUCAUUUGUAUGCUGCCUUAUGGCACCUUCCUGUCUAUUGCACUUUACUGUAUUAUUUGCACCCACUGUCUAUAUCUUACUCUACUAUUUGUAC